rnacentral:snRNA from 1 species
GGCUAUGAGGGAAAUCUGGCUAUAAUAUCCAUCUUUCCAUUCAUCGCCAAGGUUGAUUCAGCUCAUCUGGCGAGAUAGGAGGGUGUCUGCUUCCUCCCUCACUGUUCUUGAGUCUGUGUAUUCAUCAACUAGCACAAUUUCCCUGAACAGAUUCAGUUCUUUAUUCAAGGGUAUCUAAGUAGCUGCAUUGCACUGCUAGAACCUUCGAAAAAAACUCAUAAGAAAUAUUAGAAAGAGUAAGAGAGAGGGGAAGAAGAAGAAAAGCGAGCU